GACUCCGGAGAGGGAGCCUGAGAAAUGGCUACCACAUCCAAGGAUGGCAGCAGGCGCGCAAAUUACCCACUCUCAGUACGAGGAGGUAGUGACGAAAAAUAACAAUGCGGGACUCAUCAGAGGCCUCGCAAUUGGAAUGAGCGCACUUUAAAUCGUUCGACGAGGAUCUAUUGGAGGGCAAGUCUGGUGCCAGCAGCCGCGGUAAUUCCAGCUCCAAUAGCGUAUAUUAAAGUUGUUGCAGUUAAAAAGCUCGUAGUUGGAUCUGGGGUUCGGGUCGGCGGUUUGCCGCUUCGGCGGCUACUGCCGAGCUCGACUCUUACUAGCCGGUGCGUCUUGCGGUGCUCUUCAUCGAGUGCCGUAGGAGCCUGGCAUGUUUACUUUGAAAAAAUUAGAGUGCUCAAAGCAGGCGAUUCCGCCUGAAUAGUGUUGCAUGGAAUAAUGGAAUAGGACCUCGGUUCUAUUUUGUUGGUUUUCGGAACUUGAGGUAAUGAUUAAGAGGGACGGUCGGGGGCAUUCGUAUUUCGGUGUUAGAGGUGAAAUUCUUGGAUCGCUGAAAGACGGACAAAUGCGAAAGCAUCUGCCAAGAACGUCUCCAUUAAUCAAGAACGAAAGUCAGAGGUUCGAAGACGAUCAGACACCGUCCUAGUUCUGACCAUAAACGAUGCCAACUAGCGAUCCGCAGUGGUUGCUAUAAACGGACUCUGCGAGCAGCUUCCGGGAAACCAAAGUGUUUGGGUUCCGGGGGAAGUAUGGUUGCAAAGCAGAAACUUAAAGGAAUUGACGGAAGGGCACCACCAGGAGUGGAGCCUGCGGCUUAAUUUGACUCAACACGGGGAAACUCACCCGGUCCGGACACUGUAAGGAUUGACAGAUCGAGAGCUCUUUCUUGAUUCGGUGGAUGGUGGUGCAUGGCCGUUCUUAGUUGGUGGAGUGAUUUGUCUGGUUAAUUCCGAUAACGAACGAGACUCUAGCCUGCUAACUAGUUGCGCCGUGUUCAUACGCGGCUGUAGACUUCUUAGAGGGACAGGUGGCGUUUAGCCACACGAAAUUGAGCAAUAACAGGUCUGUGAUGCCCUUAGAUGUCCGGGGCCGCACGCGCGCUACACUGAAGGAGUCAGCGUGUGCUAUCCGGGCUCGGAAGAGUUCGGUAACCCGUUGAAACUCCUUCGUGCUUGGGAUUGUGGCUUGUAAUUAUCGCGCAUGAACGAGGAAUUCCCAGUAAGUGCAAGUCAUCAGCUUGCGCUGACUACGUCCCUGCCCUUUGUACACACCGCCCGUCGCUACUACCGAUUGAAUGGUUUAGCAAGGUACUCGGAUUGGUCUCGAUCUUGUACGAAAGUGCGGGAUCUGUGGCCGAGAAGAAGGCCAAACUUGAUCAUUUAGAGGAAGUAAAAGUCGUAACAAGGUU
rnacentral:rRNA from 1 species